rnacentral:tRNA from 1 species
UACCCAGUGGCUGAAAUUUAAGUAUAGAUCUUUUAAAUCUAUUAUAGUGUAAAUACACUCUGAGUAA